GAGAAAUGAGGAUAAAGACUUUGUCUUAAUUCUGUAUGAAGACUUCAGAUCCAACUCUGAUCUCACGUGCAAG
rfam:Callipepla squamata strain Texas jcf7180005233471, whole genome shotgun sequence.